AACGUAGGUGGCGAGCGUUAUCCGGAUUUACUGGGCGUAAAGGGCGUGCAGGCGGUUUGCUAAGUCUAGGGUGAAAGCUCCCGGCUCAACUGGGAGAGGUCCUUGGAUACUGACAGACUUGAGGGAGGCAGAGGAGAAUGGAAUUCCCGGUGUAGUGGUGAUAUGCGUAGAUAUCUGGAGGAACACCGGUGGCGAAGGCGGCAUCCUGGACCGGCAUUGACGCUGAGGCGCGAAAGCCAGGGGAGCAAACGGG
rnacentral:rRNA from 1 species